rnacentral:rRNA from 1 species
GUGGGGAAUAUUGGACAAUGGGCGAAAGCCUGAUCCAGCCAUGCCGCGUGUGUGAAGAAGGUCUUCGGAUUGUAAAGCACUUUAAGUUGGGAGGAAGGGCAGUAAGUUAAUACCUUGCUGUUUUGACGUUACCGACAGAAUAAGCACCGGCUAACUUCGUGCCAGCAGCCGCGGUAAUACGAAGGGUGCAAGCGUUAAUCGGAAUUACUGGGCGUAAAGCGCGCGUAGGUGGUUUUGUAAGUUGGAGGUGAAAUCCCCGGGCUCAACCUGGGAACUGCCUGCAAAACUGGAUGACUAGAGUACAGUAGAGGGUAGUGGAAUUUCCUGUGUAGCGGUGAAAUGCGUAGAUAUAGGAAGGAACACCAGUGGCGAAGGCGACUACCUGGACUGAUACUGACACUGAGGUGCGAAAGCGUGGGGAGCAAACAGGAUUAGAUACCCCAGUAGUCC